UCAGAUGCCCUCCCACCCAUCCCUCCACCCCGCACUCUAGACGCGCAUGCAACACCACAACCCAUUCCCCCGCAAUCCAUCCCAGAGCCAGCGGAGGGAGCAGAAGGCAAAUUCCUCACAUCCCAAAAAUGACCAAGAACACCCAUUUCCUGAUGCUUCUCGGGCAAUUGUUGGCUGUUUAUGUUGCAGAUUCCCAGCUCGCCGGGCCUCAGGGGCCCUUCGCCAAGACGGCAAAAGUGGGAGAGACGGUCAAAUUGGAGUGCCAGCUCAGCUUUCCUGUGGUGCUGGUUACUAGCUAUUUCUGGUACAAACAGACUGUGGGUGAAGCCCCGGUAGCAAUAGACACCACCAACUGCAAGGAGUCCGAUUGUAAAUUUAUUUCAAAAAAAGGUGACAGCGAGCGUGUGCUGCAAUUGGAAAUCCGUGAUGUCCAGGUCAAUGACUCUGGGACCUACUACUGUGCUGAUAGGGAUGGCUAUGCUCCUCUCCAGCCGGGACCCAAACUGCUUGUUGGAGACAGUUCCACUGACAAGACGUCCGUCCUCGUCUUCCUCCCGCCGUCUGUGUCUGCCCAGAUGGACCCCGUCCCCUUGGUGUGUCUAGUCAGCGGGGUCUCUUCCAACGAGAUUGUCAUUUUCUGGAAUAUUUCCGGCGAGGUGACCCAGGGGGCGAGCGAUGUCGGGAAGAGGGAGCGGGACGGCACCUGGAACAUCACGAGUCAGGUCACGGUGAUGAGGGAACAGUGGACCAGCGGCGCUCUGUGUUCCUGUGUUGUUCAACUGGGAGAGAAAGUCCUGACAAAGAGUGUGUCUUUCACUGAACCGGCGGCAGCAAAGGCAGUCCUCUCUCCAGAAUGGUGCAAUACAGUCAGUAACGUUUUGAGAAUCAUCUCGGCAAUCCUCCUCCUAAGCUUGAUUCUAAUUAUGGUCUACAAAGACAGUCGAUCAGCGCCAGGCAGGAGACCCCACAAUGAAAACUUUCGAUUGAGAGAGAGAACACAAAGAGGCGAAUGAGACCAGUUGCAAUUGGGAAAGAACCAUCAAACAGACAUAAACUGGACUCCUAUGGAUGCAUUGCAGACUGGCAGCAAUUCCCCAAAAGUCUCCUUGGAGUCGCGAUCUCGGGGAAAAGGAGGAAAAAAAGAAAGCAGGUCGCACGUGAAAAUUCAGAUGGAAUUCGAUCCAAGAGGAUUUAUGGAGGAGACCGGAUCUGCAUUAGAUCUCAAAGCUGUGUUGCAAUCAGUUGGAGCCUUGCAAACGCCGAGGCUGUGGUUUUAACUUCACUUUUGACUUUGUAAAGUCAUUUUGUUGCAUGCAACUGAUUGGGCCACUGUGGACUUAAUUCAAGCUGUAAUUUCCAAAUA